AAUCUCAGUGGGCAGGAGGAGCAGGGGCCAAGCCUCCGGCCGACAUCACCAGGCGUAACUCCCCGCUGCUCUGCGGAGCGGCACCGACCAGUGCCAGAGAGACAGCAGCCAGAGCUGGGGGGCUCCAAUGGCACGGCUGGGGUGGGGAAGGAGAGCUCAGAUCACAAAGGGCUUGCAUGAGAGAAAAAUCACCGCGCUCUUGUUACACUGUUAGGAGUAAUAAUUCCUUAGGCACUUUCUUUAGGCUUUAAAACAUAGCAUAUGGUCAACAAAAGCAAACAAUACUAUGUACAUAUAUGUAAAAAGUGUUAUAAAUAGGUUUUUUAAACCAUAGAUACUAUAUACAUCCUCAAUUAACAAGUAACCCUUUGAGUGUUUCCUUUUGGGGUCGGUNNNNNNNNNNUUUUUUUUUUUUUGGGGGGGGGUUUUUUUUUUUUUUUUUUUUUUUUUUUUUUUUUUUGGUUAAUUUUCUUUUCCGUUUUCUCGUCUAUUUUCCCCCGCCUCCGUCUCCUCCGUGGACGUCAUGAGUGCCCCGGUUGCGCCUCCUGCGGCAUCACUCGCGCUUCCGUAGGAUGACGUAGACGAUGCCGCUGGCGAGGGCCAGGGGGAAGGCGAGCCACGCCAGGAUAUAGGCGAAGCCAUAGGAGGUGUUUUCCGAGGCUUGGUGCCAGUCCGUGUGCCUCACUGUGAAGAUGGCCGCGCCGCUCAUCACGCAGAGCCCUGCGGGGAAGAGCAAGGGGAUCGGUGAGCAGCAGUUCCCGGAUGGAAACCCACAGCUGGAUAACGCCCCGUGCCAGCACUUUUUCUGUUGCCUCCUCGCAUCUCCUGGGAAACUAUGGUUUGGGGGAUGUGAUGCUGUGGGUCCUGGCUGCAGGUGAGUGGGAUAUCACCACCAGGCUAUGAGCAUCACCUGGUCUAACCCUCACCCAGCUCCAGGUGCUGCUCAGGACCAAUCCUUCUGCCCUGGGUGUCUCAAUUGCAGCCUGAACCGCCCUCCCAGAGCUGCUGCAAGAUGUCAGGCACAAGCUGGGCUUUUUUCUCAGUACCCCAGUUUAUCACCUGCCCGUGCAGGUGCAGCUGGGGCCACCCAGUCCCUGCAGUGGCUCUGGCUGGGCACAGCCUGCACCCGUCCUCCUCCCCUGCAGGCACCGUCCUGCACCGCUGCCAUCCUACAGCUCGUCCCGCUUUUGUCCCCCGUGUCCCCUCCUUGCCAGCCACGGGCCAUCCGCUCCGGUAGGCAGCAUUUUAGCUUUAUUGCAAAAACAAAGCAUCAGCACUGGGGACUGCCCAGCGCCAACACAAAGCCACCACUAUUCCUCCCUGAAAACAAGCUCUUUCAGUCCAUCCCAGCACUUUUAUUAUGCAGUCGCUGGGCUGUUGUCAGCACUACAUCCCCUGCACGGACCUCGGGACCACCUACAUUGAACAGCGGUGAUAUUUGAGCUCUAAUUCCACUUGACACUGAGCCUUUGUUCUGGGAAAGUGCAGAAGUGGGAAUACGUUUCAUUAACGCGCCACUGGGGCAGUUUCCAUUCUGUGAGCACGAGAGCGAACUCCCACUGCCCCGGCCCAUGCAAAGAGAGCAAAACAAUUGUCUGGCAAUUCUGAUGGGACCGAGAGCAGGCGUGCGGCCAUGCCAGUCACCUACAGACUCCAGAAAAUACAGCGGCAAUUGUCCCCAGGAAGAAUUUGGCAAAAUUAAGAGGCAAUGGAUGCAUUUCUGCAGCAUCUGCACUGGUUUGGGCCCAGGGGAUAGGCGAGGAAGUGAAGCCAGCUGCACUCAGUGGUUGCAAGGUGCAAGACAAAUGCANNNNNNNNNNGCUACACGGCCUCGGUUAAAGACGACAUCGUUUCCAUUCACAGAGAUUUAUUGGCUCCUCCUUUCGCCCAGGAUUAAGCCUCAUUGUGGGACCACUUGAUUUUUCCAGGCAGAGCAGCCCAGGACUGGCAGAGGCAGGGACAUCGCGUGUGCAGGUCACCCAGAGACAGCUCAGCACCGGGUUUUGGGAGGGUGCAUCCCCUCUGGAAAUGGACCUCACACAUCCCCCAAAACAUUCCACCCCCUGUGCUGACUGCUAAGUGUCAGUCUGAGUGGGUUAGCAUUGAAUCCUCAGCCCAGAGCCNNNNNNNNNNGAGGGCAAAGUCUACCUAAAGCCUGACUCCCAGGGCUGUGUGGUGACAGCCUGGCCAGCUGCAUUGGUGAUGCUUAUGCUGGGAAGAGUGAGGGAGAAAUGGGGCCAAGCCCCAGGUUUCCACAGCUGCUGGAAGUCAGUUGAGGUGAUUACACUGACCGAUCCACCAGGUAGGAGUAGUGAGAGGGGAGAAAGCUGUUGAGGGUCUCCUGGUGCCUCUGGAGGCUGGAAUCCCACGUGGGAAAACUAAAGCAGGCCUCAGGGCAUGGAUCCAAGCAGCACGGAGGAGGUGCUGGGGAUGCCUCCUGCCCUGGCCCCGCACAGCUGCCCUCUUUCUUGCCCUUACCCACCCAGCGGUCCUGUCCUUGUCACCUGCUGGUUCAGGCCGAGCAGCACUGCAGGCCCAGCUCCCGAACUGGCAGCCCUCGGCUCUGCCAUGCUACGCCCCCCGGGAGGGGGCUGCAGGGUCCUGGAGGGCCCAGGGAAGAGCCUCCUCAUCCUUCCCAGGAGGAGAGAAAUCCUCUCCAGCCUUUCACAGCAAGCUGCAAGGAGACUGCGUUGAGCUGAGCUCCUCUGCCCGGUGCUGUCUGUGCCAGUGGGUGAGACCUNNNNNNNNNNCAG
rnacentral:lncRNA from 1 species